rnacentral:rRNA from 1 species
CCUCGAUGUCGGCUCAUCUCAUCCUGGGGCUGUAGCCGGUCCCAAGGGUAUGGCUGUUCGCCAUUUAAAGAGGUACGUGAGCUGGGUUUAAAACGUCGUGAGACAGUUUGGUCCCUAUCUGCCGUGGGCGUUGGAUAUUUGAAGGGGGCUGCUCCUAGUACGAGAGGACCGGAGUGGACGAACCUCUGGUGUACCGGUUGUCACGCCAGUGGCAUCGCCGGGUAGCUAUGUUCGGAAGAGAUAACCGCUGAAAGCAUCUAAGCGGGAAACUCGCCUUAAGAUGAGAUAUCCCUGGGGACUAGAUCCCCUUGAAGGGUCGUUCGAGACCAGGACGUUGAUAGGUCAGGUGUGUAAGCGCAGUAAUGCGUUCAGCUAACUGAUACUAAUUGCCCGUAAGGCUUGAUCCUAUAACA